AUUAUUUUGGCAGAUUAGUGCAAUAAAUUUAGAAUUUAUGAAUGUAUGAAUAUACAAGUAAUA
rnacentral:tRNA from 1 species